rnacentral:rRNA from 1 species
AAACGGCGGCCGUAACUAUAACGGUCCUAAGGUAGCGAAAUUCCUUGUCGGGUAAGUUCCGACCCGCACGAAAGGCGUAACGAUCUGGGCACUGUCUCAACGAGAGACUCGGUGAAAUUAUAGUACCUGUGAAGAUGCAGGUUACCCGCGACAGGACGGAAAGACCCCGUGGAGCUUUACUGUAGCCUGAUAUUGAAUUUUGGUACAGCUUGUACAGGAUAGGUAGGAGCCUUGGAAGCCGGAGCGCUAGCUUCGGUGGAGGCGUCGGUGGGAUACUACCCUGGCUGUAUUGAAAUUCUAACCCGCACCUCUAAUCGAGGUGGGAGACAGUGUCAGGUGGGCAGUUUGACUGGGGCGGUCGCCUCCUAAAAUGUAACGGAGGCGCCCAAAGGUUCCCUCAGAAU